rfam:Termitomyces sp. J132 unplaced genomic scaffold scaffold135, whole genome shotgun sequence.
UGUCCCAUGGCUUAGCUGGUCACAGCGUCCGACUGUUAUCCCCAAAUUCCACGCCUAUCUAACAUCGGAAGAUCGAGAGUUCGAGUCUCUCUGGGACAG